AAUGAACGUUGGCGGCGUGGAUUAGGCAUGCAAGUCGAGCGAGGACGAUGUAGCAAUAUGUCGAGCCGAGCGGCGUAAGGGGCAGUAAUGUAUGGGUCACGUACCCUGGGGACGGGAAUAGCCGCGGGAAACUGCGGGUAAUGCCCGAUAAUGCCGAAAGGCCAAAUGGAUUCCGCCCUGGGAGCGGCUCAUAUGCUAUUAGCUAGUUGGUGGGGUAAUGGCCCACCAAGGCGAAGAUGGCUAGCGGGUGUGAGAGCACGACCCGCGCCACUGGCACUGAGACACUGGCCAGACACCUACGGGUGGCAG
rnacentral:rRNA from 1 species